CGGGGUGAGUAAUGCUUGGGAAUCUAGCUUAUGGAGGGGGAUAACUACGGGAAACUGUAGCUAAUACCGCGUAGAAUCGAGAGAUGAAAGUGUGGGACCUUCGGGCCGCAUGCCAUAGGAUGAGCCCAAGUGGGAUUAGGUAGUUGGUGAGGUAAAGGCUCACCAAGCCGACGAUCUCUAGCUGGUCUGAGAGGAUGACCAGCCACACUGGGACUGAGACACGGCCCAG
rnacentral:rRNA from 1 species